CAGCAAAGUAAGAAAUAAAAAUAAGUCAGUAUGACCAAAAUAGUCAAUUGACCCCCUAAGGAGUUAUUGCCCUUCAUAGUCAAUUUUUAACAAUUUUCUUAAAAUUUGAAGAUUUUCAAUAACAUUUUCCACAGAAAGUACUGUUAUAGAUAGAGAUAAUUGUAAGCAGCAAGAAUGUUUAGUAAAGUAAGAUCUACAAACACAUCCCCAUCACCAAAACACAAUUUUGUCAUGAAUCCAUCUGUGUCCUUUGUUUAAUAUUCAC
rnacentral:lncRNA from 1 species